rnacentral:rRNA from 1 species
GUACCAGACUCCUACGGGAGGCAGCAGUGAGGAAUAUUGGUCAAUGGGCGGGAGCCUGAACCAGCCAAGUCGCGUGAGGGAUGACGGCCCUACGGGUUGUAAACCUCUUUUGCCGGGGAGCAAAGAGCGGGACGCGUCCCGCCUCGAGAGUACCCGGAGAAAAAGCAUCGGCUAACUACGUGCCAGCAGCCGCGGUAAUACGUAGGGGGCAAGCGUUAUCCGGAUUUACUGGGUGUAAAGGGGGCGCAGACGGCGAUGCAAGCCAGGAGUGAAAGCCCGGGGCCCAACCCCGGGACUGCUCUUGGAACUGCGUGGCUGGAGUGCAGGAGGGGCAGGCGGAAUUCCUGGUGUAGCGGUGAAAUGCGUAGAUAUCAGGAGGAACACCGGUGGCGAAGGCGGCCUGCUGGACUGCAACUGACGUUGAGGCCCGAAAGCGUGGGGAGCAAACAGGAUUAGAUACCCGGGUAAA